rnacentral:rRNA from 1 species
ACGAAACCGGAGGAAGGUGGGGAUGACGUCAAGUCAUCAUGGCCUUACGGCCUGGGCUACACACGUGCUACAAUGGUCGGUACAAAGGGUUGCCAAGCCGCGAGGUGGAGCCAAUCCUCAAAGUUGGCCUCAGUUCAGAUUGUAGGCUGCAACUCGCCUGCAUGAAGAUGGAGUUGCUAGUAACGCAGGUCAGCUAUACUGCGUUGAAUACGUUCCCGGGGCCUU